UACGUAGGGUGCAAGCGUUGUCCGGAAUUAUUGGGCGUAAAGAGCUCGUAGGCGGUUUGUCGCGUCUGCUGUGAAAACCCGAGGCUCAACCUCGGGCCUGCAGUGGGUACGGGCAGACUAGAGUGCGGUAGGGGAGAUUGGAAUUCCUGGUGUAGCGGUGGAAUGCGCAGAUAUCAGGAGGAACACCGAUGGCGAAGGCAGAUCUCUGGGCCGUAACUGACGCUGAGGAGCGAAAGCGUAGGGAGCGAACAGG
rnacentral:rRNA from 1 species